GUACUGUUAGGGUUAUUACCGUUAAUAAUGUCUAAAACUAAGAGCCCCGGUCUGGGAUGUUUGUUGCAGGGUGUUUCAUUAGGUACGGGUAGCGUUAUUACCGUAAUAUGUCUAAACUAAAGAGCCCCGGUCUGGGAUGUUGUUGCAGGGGUUUCAUUAGGUACGGGCUAGCGGUUAUUACCGUAAUAUUUCUAAACUAAGAGCCCCGGUCAUGGAUGUUGUUGCAGGUGUUCAUUAGGUACGGGUGGUUAUUUACCGUUAAUAUUUCUAAUAAGAGCCCCGGUCUGGGAUGUU
rnacentral:lncRNA from 1 species